AAAGUUUUGCAUUUUGCAUUUUUGAAUUUUAUUAUUGUAUUCUUUUAAAUUUUGUAUUUUGAAUUUUCUAUUAUUGUUUUGUUUUUGCAAAUGUUUGCAUUUUGAUUUUGUUCUUUGUAACUAUUUAUUGUAAUUCCCCUUUUCCCUAUAUUAUGCACCUAGUGUAAGGUAGUGGAUAGGAGUAGGGAAGAAAGAUAAGUGUAGGAUAAAGAUUGUUUGUUUGUUAUUUGGAGUAAGUAUAAUAGAAUAGGUUUGCAAUAAGGGGAAUUUAUAUAUUUACUGGUGAGCAUAUGAUAAAUCUACAGAUUUGCUCAAAUGCUCAGAGGGUAGAAUAUAGGAAUAAAAUUAUAGAAAUAAGAAUGAGUUUAAGUGAAGUUAAAGGUUGUCUUUAAGGGGAUAGCAUGGGCACAUGCUAGGAACUCUGAAGAGAGGAUUCUGGAAUGUAGGGAGAAGAGGAGGAAGAGUUUGGAAGUUACAACUGCCUCUUCCUGUCCUGAAGUGGAAGAGGAAAGAGCUGGCUCUCUGCUGAGCCUUUAUAACCAAACCUGUUUAUAAGAGAAGGGAAACCUUUCAAUUUCUUUUUGGAGAUACCUUUUCCACAGAAGAAACCCACCUAAAGGAGAUCUCUCUAUUCUAUCAACCCUGAGGGAGAGGAAGUUUUAUUCAAAGUCUGUUGGUGUGUGGGCUGAGGUAUUCACCUCAGGCUCCAGUGCAGGGUGAACUCAGCCAAUUUGAGUUCAUCCUAUGUCAACUAGGAAAAACUAUUAACAACCACAUAAACCAACAAGGGAGGGUUUUAGUGUAAGGUAGAAUAGAGAGGGUUUGGAGAUACUUAGCCAGAAUCAGGGAGUGAUAGGGAGCUUCAAGAUCUUGAAGAGUCUAUAUCAGAUGGGUGUAGAGGAAAGAGCUGGAAGAAGACAAAGCAGUAUUGGCACAUCCAUGGGUUGGAAAAAUGUUGGAGUGGCUUGAUAUAAUAUCUACACCACUGGAGACUUUUUUCCCUGGAUCUUGUGUCAUCUGGCUGGGUGAGUGGCUGAGAUUCCUGCCUUGGCUUUGGAGGAGGCUGUAUUGGUGGAACUCCAGAUGAAGACACCACCAGGACUUCUGGCUGAGGAUUACCAGAAAAUCUAUGUGGAGAUCCAACUUGGGGGAGUCCCUUCUAGGGCUGAACUGGACUUCACUGGAGAAGGGCUGGGUUUCCAGGCUCUACCAUCCCAGCUAGAGAAAAGUCCAAAGAACCCUGAGAACAUAGAUAUCCUGACCUUACUCCAAAAUUUCCCAUGUAAAGGUGGCUCUUCAUCAAAACUGUCUGCAUAAGUUGGUUGUGAAUAAUAAUCCGAAUUAUAUGUUGGCUGAAAAACUUGUCCCAUGUAACUCGAAGAUGCAAUCAUCUCUGGAGGAACAAAAGCUGCAGAGUUGGGCUGUCUGGAAUGAAAAAAAUAUUGUUAUUAAACCAUCUAUGAGAUUAAUACAAUAAUAAAACAGAGA